rnacentral:rRNA from 1 species
CAUACCAGCACUAAUGCACCGGCAUCCAUCAGAACUCGCGAAGUGAAGCGUGCUUGGGCGAGAGUGAGUACUAGAUGGGUGACCCCCUGGGAAGUCAUCGC